rnacentral:rRNA from 1 species
GGGCGUACCUUAGUUCUGCGACACCACUGGAACGGUGGCUAAUACCGGAUGUGCCGGAAGGUGAAAGGCUUGCUGCCUGAAGAUGAGCUCGCGUCCGAUUAGCUAGUAGGUGGGGUAAGAGCCUACCUAGGCGACGAUCGGUAGCUGGUCUGAGAGGAUGACCAGCCACACUGGGACUGAGACACGGCCCAGACUCCUACGGGAGGCAGCAGUGGGGAAUUUUCCGCAAUGGGCGAAAGCCUGACGGAGCAAUACCGCGUGAGGGAGGAAGGCUCUUGGGUUGUAAACCUCUUUUCUCAGGGAAGAACACAAUGACGGUACCUGAGGAAUCAGCAUCGGCUAACUCCGUGCCAGCAGCCGCGGUAAUACGGAGGAUGCAAGCGUUAUCCGGAAUGAUUGGGCGUAAAGCGUCCGCAGGUGGCUGUGUAAGUCUGCUGUCAAAGAGCAAAGCUCAACUUUGUAAAGGCAGUGGAAACUACACGGCUAGAGUGCGUUCGGGGCAGAGGGAAUUCCUGGUGUAGCGGUGAAAUGCGUAGAGAUCAGGAAGAACACCGGUGGCGAAGGCGCUCUGCUAGGCCGCAACUGACACUGAGGGACGAAAGCUAGGGGAGCGAAUGGGAUUAGAUACCCCCAGUAGUCA